rnacentral:rRNA from 1 species
GACGUAGGGGGCGAGCGUUGUCCGGAUUUAUUGGGCGUAAAGAGCGCGUAGGCGGCCCGGAAAGUCGGAUGUGAAAACCCGGGGCUCAACCCCGGGCCUGCAUCCGAUACUCCCGGGCUGGAGGCAGGUAGGGGAGAUCGGAAUUCCUGGUGUAGCGGUGAAAUGCGCAGAUAUCAGGAGGAACACCGGUGGCGAAGGCGGAUCUCUGGGCCUGUCCUGACGCUGAGGCGCGAAAGCUAGGGGAUCGAACAGG